ACAGAGGAGUAUGUCCAUGCACUUAAACACUUAAACAGGAAAGUGACCAUGUAAAAGUGCAAUGUGUUUGAGAAGGUGGGUCCACCAUACUUUAGUGCUGGUGCACCAAAGUAAAAACGUUUUAAUCCUCAUCUUUGGUUUUUGUGUUCUAGAUCCAGCGUCUGGUGUUCUGAUUUGGCUUUCGACACACUGCGAGGCAGCGAUCACACCAUCGGCUUUGAGGACAUCCUCGGCUAUCCAGCUCAAAGUGAAAUGAUCCGAAAGCCACACCUGAAGGUGGAAUACAAACUGGGAUUGUUAGGAAAGAUGCAGGAAUAAGACCCUCUGAAAUAUUUAGGUUUCUGUUCCUAAUUAGGUUUAGUAAUUCAUUCCAAAACACACCACAGAAAAUCUCUUACUGGAACAUAUAGUCUUGACAAACAGUGGGUCUGAUUACUGUGUGCAUCUAUGUGUUAAUGAUUGUAAAGCAGCCAUUUAGACACUUUUAUGUGGGGAGUGAUUUUUUCUAUUCUCUGUGCUAAUGCUUUACAGAUAAUUUUGACGUCUGCAUUGAUCAGUGAGAUGGGACGAUAGCUGGAAGGAGUUGAGGGAUCUUUCUCUGGUUUGAGAAGAAGGAUUAUAUUUGCUGAAUUCAUGUUUGGUGGAAGUAACUGAUUUUCCUUUAUAAAUGUAACCAUUUUAUAAAAAGUUUCUGCUAGCUGUUCCCAGAAUUCUUUGUAAAACUCAGCGGGAAAGCCAUCCGGCCCCGGAGCUUUGUUGUUCGGCAUAAGCAGCAGAGCAUCAUGAAGUUCAGAUGAUGAGAGCGGCGAGUCUAAGUCUUUGAUUUGAUCUUCAGUUAAUCUGGGAAGGUUUACAUUAUUAAGAAAUGAAUUGAUGCUUUGCUCUGAUGGAUUGAUCUCUGAGGUGUAUAAGUUCUUAUAAAAAUCUUUAAAAGUUUCAUUAAUUUUGAUCGGGUCAUGAGUGACAUUUCCUGACUCAUCAGUAAUAGAUGUUAUUGUGGAUUUUUCUUUAUUAAUUUUAAGCUGAUUAGCUAAAAAUUUGCCAGAUUUAUUAGAGUUUUCAAAUCUUUCUAGUCUAAGUCUUUGUAUUUGGAAUUGUGUUUGUUUGUUAAUUAUGUCGUUUAACUGAAGCCUUAGUUUUUUUAAAUCUCCCAGAAUCUGUUCUUCUGCAGAAGCAGCAUAAGCUGUCUCCAUUAUUUUUAUUUUAUUUU